UAGGGAAUCUUCCACAAUGGACGCAAGUCUGAUGGAGCAACGCCGCGUGAGUGAAGAAGGUUUUCGGACCGUAAAGCUCUGUUGUUGGUGAAGAAGGAUAGAGGUAGUAACUGGCCUUUAUUUGACGGUAAUCAACCAGAAAGUCACGGCUAACUACGUGCCAGCAGCCGCGGUAAUACGUAGGUGGUAAGCGUUGUCCGGAUUUAUUGGGCGUAAAGCGAGCGCAGGCGGAAGAAUAAGUCUGAUGUGAAAGCCCUCGGCUUAACCGAGGAAUUGCAUCGGAAACUGUUUUCUUGAGUGCAGAAGAGGAGAGUAGAACUCCAUGUGUAGCGGUGGAAUGCGUAGAUAUAUGGAAGAAUACCAGUGGCGAAGGCGGCUCUCUGGUCUGCAACUGACGCUGAGGCUCGAAAGCAUGGGUAGCGAACAGGAUUAGAUACCCCUGGUAGU
rnacentral:rRNA from 1 species